UAACCUUCUGUGGUGUAGUUGGUAGCGCAUUUGCUUAGUAAUUAAGGUUUGCUUCCCUUUAACCUUCUGUAGUGUAGUUGGUAGCGCCUUGCUUAGUAAUUAUAAGUCCCAGGUUCAAGUCCCGGUCGGGUUAA